CAACCCUCAAGCUUUUGCUUGGUAUUGGGCUUUCAUCCAUCUCUUAGGGGGAGGAUGUGCCUAAAACUCAUAGGCGGUUGUAAUCAACUCCUUUGCGUAGUUAUUUUUUCUUUCGCUCUGGAUUUUUUGGUUAUAACUCGCCUAAAAACCUUUUAUUUUUCUAAG
rnacentral:misc_RNA from 1 species